UAAGUUCUAUGACAUUUUUUCAAUGUGGUUGUACCAUUUCAUAUUAUCAUUACAAUGAGAAGUGUUCCACAUUUUCAUUUCUCUCAAGGAAAUAAUUCUGAAUGGAAGUGCUGAGUAAGAAUAAGUGUAUAUUUACUUUUAUAAUAAGUUUUAUGACAUUUUCUCAAUGUGAUUGUACCAUUUUAUAUUAUUGUAAAGUAAGAAGUGUUCCAGGUGCUUCACACCUCUACAGGCAUUCUGGUGGAUGAGCAAUGGAAUCUCAGUGUGGUUUUCACUUAAACUUCCCUGAUGAUUAAUAAUGUUGAGCAUUUUUGAUGGGCUUACUGAACAUUUCUGAAUCAACUUUUGGAAAGGGAUUAUUGUCCAAAUGUUUUGCCCAGUUUUUUUAAUUGGGUGGUUUGCCUUAUUGUUAUUCUAUCAUUAUUAUUGUUAGGUUUUGAAGGGAGGGAGAGAGAGAGAGAGUUGGUGGCUCUACAGCAACACAGGUUUAUUGCCAGUACGACUUGCAGAGAGGGGACCAGCUUAGUGCCAGAGCUCACUGCCGCUUACAGGCUGGGGUAAUUACAGGCCUGGGCAGGAGGGGUCUGGGCCGUAUGGCUUGCUGCCCGGGAGGAUGUUGAUAAAGAUGUUCCUUGGGCCUUUGCCCAGCAGGAUGUGAUAAGGAAGUCAUGUGGCUGGGCAGGAUGUUUCUCACAGCCCAGGGCCCCAUGGAAUGUUUCACUCUGACCAGGGUCUGUAAAAUGGCAGGGGCUUGCAAAAUAAUGCAACUUGGACUAACAAUUGUUAUUAAUCCUAAAGGGAGAAGGAGAUUCAGCAAGAAUGGUGAAAGGAGAAUUAUAAUUUGGGCAUCUCAUUUCAUGAUCAAUAUCUCAUGGUGGGGUAAGAACAGGGGCAGUCAGGAUCGGAGGGUCUGGCAGACAGGUCAGCUGAAUCCGUGUCUACUAAUGAAGCAGGAGCCAGGAUCCACAUGAUGAAAGUGGCCACAGUCAGGAAGUCUGAAAUUUUCUCAGCAGAAAAGAAGAAAGAGCAGACGGGCUGAGUGGCCCUGCUGUCUGAAGGGGCCUCAGUUUUAUCCUCCAACACCUUGGGGCUCCACUGGUGCUCACCUUUCUUCUCCAAGCCUAGGUCUUCAGCAGUGAGUACACAGGGAAGGUAGGGGGCAGGGGCAGCUCUCCUCCACCCAACAAUAGUGGCAGUGGCAGCAGCAGGAGUACUGGAAUUUGGGGUUACAGAGCUUACAGCUGUCAGAUGUGUUUGGAAAGUUCCUUCUUGACAGAGAGUGUCUGGAAACUUCUUCUCCCUGUGUCUUGCCUGGCUUUAGUGAGGCUGAAGAUCUGGGUGAAUGGCCUCCAUCAACAUUUUCCUUCGUCCACCUCUCCAGUAGCAGAGCGCAGAUAAGACUGGACGGGACAGCCCUGCUGAACCCACAGCAGACCUCCAAAGAGGUCUGUAUCAGCUGGCGAUGCCACUGCCUUUGGCAAAUGGGCUCAGAGAAGAUGUUUGGGCUUUCUUACUCAAGGUGUCUUCUGGGUGUUUCGAACAGAGGCUUCCUUUCAGGGGUCCAGGACUGCACUGGAAGGAAGUGACCACAAGAUGACACCGUUGUUCUUCCAGACACUCCCGCUGUUAUGAGGAAAGGAGUCAUUUGCAGCCUGGAGGAGGACUCUACCAUUCCAAGAUAUUCAGCUGACCACCCAAGCAGUAGCUCCUGAGACCUCCACACUCGACAGAGUCCCGCACACAUUCAAGCCCGAUGCAGUUGAGCCGCCGUUGGAACGCGUGGAGAGGAAGGGUGCGCGAGGCCAGGGCUGGAAGAAAUGCCGCAGAGGGCAAAGCGCGAGGUCCAACGGUCCAGCCCCAGCAGGGACUCUCGAGCUUCGGGAUUCCGCUUACCGGGUAUCGGCUGUUUAGACCCAGACCGGCCCCUGCGCGAUGUGAGCACUGCUCAGGACUGCAGCUGCUGGGCACCAGCAGCCAGGUCUGCAGGCUCCGCGAAGCCUGGCCCAGACCGUAGCUUCUGCAAGCAGUGCGGGUGUAUCCUGGGGUCACUGGAAGGCAGCGCCUGCUCAGAGCCAGAGUACAGAAGCAGCCCAGGUCUUCCCAGCACCAGGUUCACUGGAAGUGCCAGGUGUGGGAGAGGGAGCUGGGGAGGGAAGAGGACUGUACUGGUUCCCAAUCUGAAUGAUGUACCCAAGAGGCCAGGUAGCUGCAGCAGGUGCUAAGGCCACCACCUCCUUCAUGCUCCUUUCUGAUCACCUCUCCAAGUCCUGGUGUCAGGAGCCUUCUCUGUGGCCGCCCUGGAGAGACUUGAGCCUGGGACGUGACCUGCUGGGCUGUGAAGGUUUCUGAGAAGGGAAACCUGUGGUCUGACCUGCCUGGAUGCUGCACCCAACCUCAUCUCUUCCUGGGAGGCAGGCUCUCUUCGCUUGUUUCUACAAAUUUGAAACCAACAACUGUCAGCAUUAACACCAUCAGGCAUUUCUCUUCUCAUUUAACCUUGCAGCCAACCACACAGCUAUCUGUGCGUGAUCUCUCCCCAAGCGCAAGGACAUGAGAUACAGAUCAGGCCCAAGAGCCUGGAUGCCAAGCCUAUCCUCUCCAUGUGAAGCACCAACUUGAGGGUGUCAACUUAAAAUAUGAGACCCGUAAACUUGGAAAGGAGGACUUUAUUUCUUGAGAAGCAUUGCAAACUGCAGGCUCUGGAAAGUGACACCUCCAGCAGAGACCACAAACAGUGGACCUUCUCAAACCGGGGUAUUGACCUCUGAUGAACCCCCAUCCAAACCCGUGCCUUCCAUCAUAAAAAGAAGCACUUUGAGGUGCUCAACUUCAAGCUUGCUAGAGAAGGAGGAAAAGCGGGUUGAGUUUGACAUAAUUAGAAUGGGUUGAGCAGAGUAAGUUUCUUUCAUGGUGGACGGCGACCACCCACUGCCAUUUCUACAAGAAGAUUUUGCUUCCUAGGCACUGAGUUCCUGGUUCUUUCACUAGAAAAAAAUGAGUAUGUUGGCAAUCCAGUACUUCCAACUUCUGUGAAGACCUGGGCAGGCGACGGGAGCUUGGGGACGGGGGUGGGGCCCAAAGACAAGGCUGCCAUUUGCUGUGCCCACCACAGAGGGACAUUUACUCUACCUGAAGCACAAGUAUUUUCUCAGUGAUGUUGGCUCCUACAAAGUCGAAAGGGGUAGGCUCCCUGGCUUACGCCCCAGGAGUUUGGACUGAAAGGGAGACUAAAAGGGUCUUCCUCUAAGUUUAUGAUGUUGCCCUCCCCUGGCUACAACAGAUGUGCUCUGGCCAUAAGCAUCCCAGGUUCUCUGAGUGAUGGGGUGGGUAUGGAAAUGUUCCCAAACACAGGUAUGGGGGUGUCCCCUCCCACUGUACCAAUCCAUGCCCAGGGCUGGAAGGUCCCUGGUGCUCUGAACUGGAUUCAUAAGCAGUAGCAUCUCCAACCACAAGUAUGGUGUCAGCCCCUCCAACAGUACCACAUGUGUUCCCAUGCCUGAUAGAAAGUGGGAACAUGUGUUUAUUAGCCAGGUGGGCCCCAAAUGCUCUGAUAAGGUGCAGAAAGGGGACUCUUUGUCACUGUUGUGCUGUGCCCUCCUAUUGCAACACAUGUGCUCUGAACAGGUGGAGCCCAGGUGCUUUGCAUGCAGGCAGACACAAGAGGGCCUCUAAGCACAAGUGUGGUGUUGGAACCCUCAAGGCUACAGAUGCAUUCUGGCCAGGUGUGUCCCGGGUGGUCUGACUAUAAACAGCAAUAGAAUUCUCUCCAGCACAAUUAUAGAGAGGCCCGUCCAACUGAUGUGCUCUAGCAGGAUGAAACCUGGGUGAUCCCAACACAAGGAGGAACAGAAGUUUCUUCUGAGACAUGCUCCUUCUUAGCGAUGCUGUCUCCUUGAAUAGUAACAGGUAUGCUUUGGCUGGGUGGGCCUCAGGCACUCUGACUGUAGCCAGGAAGGAAAGGUCUCCCAGAACAGAUUUCUGCUCUGUAGCGCUGAUCUUCCCUCAUUGCAACAGGGAUGCUAUAGGCUGGCAGGACCUUGUGCUCAGGUCUAAGCCCCUCCUAGAAUAAGCUGUGGUUCUGGGUGUUCUCCUCAGCUCUUCUGUAGAUUUCAGUGCCCCCUGACAAGGAGCCAGGGUUUGGGACAGACACAAUGGCUGCAAAGCUGCCACUACCCAAAGGGGCUUAGAUAUUAAUGGUGCAUGCCACUGCUGCGGUGACCCUUUCUCGGACGGUCAUCCUUUGAUCCCUAUUUUUUUUUAUCAUCCUCCUCCUGUGCUAUCCCUUUUCUGUGAGCUCCUGGAAAAGGAGUAGUCUCUUAAUUUUUUUUUUUUUUAACUUUUUUGAGACGGAGUCUUACUCUUAUCGCCCAGGCUGGAGUGCAG